UCCUUUCCCCUAAGACUCAAAAUUGGCUUGAAUUCUUCUUUAAUUUGAUUUUUACAAUUUCUUCCAACACCUUUAGAAUUUAAUCGAGGGUAUACAUGAAUUAUCUCUGUUUCUGGUGAUUAUUUUAGAAAUAUCUUCACGAUCAAAUCUGUUUCUCUUCUGGUUCAAAAUGUUGGCUUCUCAAUCUGGUUUCUGGUAAGGUCAAGUCAAUCUCUUUUACAGUGAAGUUUAUAUCUCGUAGAUUUGCGGUUUUCUUGCUGCUCUGAAUCGGAUUUAGGGUAAGAUUACGGACAUCUGUUUUUCAAUAAAUGUUUUAUGUAGUGGAUUUGUGCUUUUCUUGCUUUGUAUCGAUGUAAAACACAGGGGUCGUGUUUUGUUCUUAAAUUAUCCAUGUUACUCCAACGAUAUUGUAAAUUAGGCUUCGGAGAAAUCUUAAAAGACCUGUAUUAUGUCAGAGGGUUUCAUUGAGUUGUUAAGAGUGCUCACUCUGGGCUAUUGACAUAUGCUUGUUCGAAUUUUUUGUCAAAUAAACUGCUAUUGUAGGAAUUAUUGGACGCUCUGUUCUAACCAAUCGUUUAUUGGUGACGGCAAACCCUACUUCUGGAUAUGUAGAGCAGCAGAGAUGAGAAUAUUAAAUCUUCUUUUGUUUUUAAGGGGUUGCUCAGAGAGUUUCAGAAAAUUAUGCAAUGAAACAAUUCCGGCAGAAGUACUGAGCAUCUAUCUCUGCUGCUGGUUUCAGUGUUCAACAUGUCAAUUUACGAGUAAGUAAUUGUAACCCUGCAAAUCGAUUUCAGUUUGUCAGAUCUCCAUCUUUAAAUUCGUGAGCAACAACUGCAAACUUAUGGUUCCUAGAACCAGCUAGAAUAAUGUUUCCAAAACCAAUAUUUGCACCAAAUUUCACACGAACGAUUUUAAUUCAAAUUUGCAGUAGCUCAUUUUUUUCUAUUUUUCUUUGGGAAAUUUCCUGCAAGAUUGCAGCAUAAUAACAAGGGUCACACCCCUCUCAAUCGAGCCCCAGGGGCCAAUAUAAAUCCAACCAGAUUUGAAUCUGGGUAAUGGAUCUAGAGUUCAGAUUCCUAUCUCACACCCACUGGAUUGCAAACAAAUAAUUGUCAACGGUCUCCCCUGAUCCAGAGGAGGGUUUACCCUGUUAAAUUGCACCUUUGGCUAAAAAUAGCUUCAAGUGCUGCCUAUGCUCUGGGGUUUUCUGAUAUUCAGCGACAACUUUCAUAAUAUGGUGAUAAUCUUUAUACCAAGUAUUUGAAUGAGAUAGUUCUUCAAUUCCACCUAGGGUUGUAGAUUAAAUUGUUAGAUUUUGUUUACCAUGGUAAUUGCAAUGGCUCUAUAUAUCUGCAUACUUCAGAGUGUUUCUACUUUCUAGAGGUUGGGUGUUUUUUAAACACGUUAUUUAGCGUAUUUCGGUUCCUUACCUAAUUUCUAGAUUACAAAUUAACAGACAUAACUUCUCAAAGUUUGAGCGUAUUACAAGUUAAUCAAAUGGUAGUGAAUUUGGCUCUCUGCAGAAGUGACCUACAAUAAAUAGUACAGUUUCUUGGCAUAUAUUGGCCCACUUUGAAUGUAUUGGUUCCUUUUUCAUCUAGGUGCUAGGAAGCAAGAUCCUUUGAUGAUUAAGUUGUACUAACACAGCAACCUUCACAUUUACAUUUCAAAAACAGUUCUUAUGGAUAGUGGUAGCAUCCUUGAAAGUUAGAAACUAUAUUUUUUUUUUUAGAUCUAUUAAUGUGUAUCAUAUAGCAAGCACUAUGGCCCAAAAGGUGCACAGAGAUCACGAGCCUGCCAGACCCAGUGGAGGCUUGAGCCUGGGUCGAUGCAAUAACAGUGCCACCUGUGACCAUUACAUGAUGCCCUCAACAGUUGUAUUUUUCCAAUUUUAUUACUUAUAUGGCAUGAGUUUAUGUUCAACUUAUAAAAAAUAUUUACUUAAAUGUUUCCCAUUUCACCAGUCAUUCUAUCAUGUUAACUAGAAACGUGUGUCAUAAAAAAUGUAUGCAAUGAACUCCCAUCACACAUUUCAUAGAAGGGGCUCUCUAACUUGGAAGGCUAUCUAGUUUCUAGAAUGUAUCAAAAUAUACAUGCCUCUCAUGUAUCAUAAUAGAUACCUUGGUGCAUCCUAAAGACUGGAUAGUCAUUUCUCUAAACAGAAAGGAAUGUAUUUCUCACAAAUAAACCCAAUCUCAUAUGACUGUAUACAACUCCCCAAGUUUUUUAUUCUACCUUUAUUAAAUAUUUUUGGAAGUACUAGCUGCAAUUAACUUAUUUUUUACUACACUAAAAAUAUAUUCUAUAGAAGAGUUUCCAUGAGUUAUGAAGAUUACCCAUUCUGAGAUGUACUGACGUAUAUGCUUAGUUUGAAUUUUCUGUCAAACAAGCUGCUAUUGUAGGAAUUGUCAGAUGCUCUAUUCUAAUCUACGGUUAAUCGGGGAGGGCAAACCCUACUUCUGGAUAUGCAUAGCAGCAGAAAUGAGGUUAUUAAACAUUCUUUCCUUGUUAAGGAAGAUCUUUCUGUCUUCUAUUCUGUUAAUGUAUAUGUAGAAAUUCGAAUCUGCAUAGUAUUUUCCUGUCCUUCCUCCCUUCUUUGUGUUGAGUAAUCUUAGAUGGUUGUUCGUGCUUGAUCUAUCUACAAAAUUAUGCCCGAAUGGAUGCAAUGACAGUGGCACCAGGAACCAUUGCAUGAUGCCCUCAACAGUUGUAUUUUUCAAAUUUAUAAAAAUCAAAAUUGUUACCUAUUUGAA